rnacentral:rRNA from 1 species
UACGUAUGGUGCAAGCGUUAUCCGGAUUUACUGGGUGUAAAGGGAGCGCAGGCGGCGCGGCAAGUCCGAUGUGAAAACCCCCGGCUCAACCGGGGGACUGCAUUGGAAACUACCGGGCUGGAGUGCCGGAGAGGUAGGCGGAAUUCCUGGUGUAGCGGUGAAAUGCGUAGACAUCAGGAGGAACACCAGUGGCGAAGGCGGCCUACUGGACGGUGACUGACGCUGAGGCUCGAAAGCGUGGGGAGCAAACAGG